rnacentral:rRNA from 1 species
GGUUAAGCGAAUAAGCGUACACGGUGGAUGCCUAGGCAAUCAGAGGCGAUGAAGGACGUGCUAAUCUGCGAAAAGCGUCGGUAAGGUGAUAUGAACCGUUAUACCCGACGAUAUCCGAAUGGGGAAACCCAGUAUCCAAUGGAUACUAUCAUUAACUGAAUCCAUAGGUUAAUGAGGCGAACCGGGAGAACUGAAACAUCUCAGUACCCCGAGGAAAAGAAAUCAACCGAGAUUCCCCUAGUAGCGGCGAGCGAACGGGGAGCAGCCCAGAGUCUUAAUCAAUAACAGUGUCAGGAGAACGGUCUGGAAAGUCCGGCAGUAAAGGGUGAUAGCCCCGUAUCUGAAGAUGCUGUUAUUGUGAACUCGACGAGUAGGGCGGGACACGUGUUAUCCUGUCUGAAUAUGGGGGGACCAUCCUCCAAGGCUAAAUACUCCUGAUUGACCGAUAGUGAACCAGUACCGUGAGGGAAAGGCGAAAAGAACCCCGGCGAGGGGAGUGAAAAAGAACCUGAAACCGUGUACGUACAAGCAGUAGGAGCCUCUUUAUGGGGUGACUGCGUACCUUUUGUAUAAUGGGUCAGCGACUUAUAUUCUGUAGCGAGGUUAACCGUAUAGGGGAGCCGUAGGGAAACCGAGUCUUAACUGGGCGAAUGAGUUGCAGGGUAUAGACCCGAAACCCGGUGAUCUAUCCAUGGGCAGGUUGAAGGUUGGGUAACACUAACUGGAGGACCGAACCGACUAAUGUUGAAAAAUUAGCGGAUGACUUGUGGAUGGGGGUGAAAGGCCAAUCAAACCGGGAGAUAGCUGGUUCUCCCCGAAAGCUAUUUAGGUAGCGCCUCGUGAACUCAUCUUCGGGGGUAGAGCACUGUUUCGACUAGGGGGUCAUCCCGACUUACCAACUCGAUGCAAACUGCGAAUACCGAAGAAUGUUAUCACGGGAGACACACGGCGGGUGCUAACGUCCGUCGUGAAGAGGGAAACAACCCAGACCGCCAGCUAAGGUCCCAAAGUCAUGGUUAAGUGGGAAACGAAGUGGGAAGGCUCAGACAGCCAGGAUGUUGGCUUAGAAGCAGCCAUCAUUUAAAGAAAGCGUAAUAGCUCACUGGUCGAGUCGGCCCGCGCGGAAGAUGUAACGGGGCUAAACCAUGCACCGAAGCUGCGGCAGCGACACAAAGUGUUGUUGGGUAGGGGAGCGUUCUGUAAGCCUGCGAAGGUGUACUGUGAGGUAUGCUGGAGGUAUCAGAAGUGCGAAUGCUGACAUAAGUAACGAUAAUGCGGGUGAAAAACCCGCACGCCGGAAGACCAAGGGUUCCUGUCCAACGUUAAUCGGGGCAGGGUGAGUCGACCCCUAAGGCGAGGCUGAAAAGCGUAGUCGAUGGGAAACGGGUUAAUAUUCCCGUACUGGUGGUAACUGCGAUGGGGGAACGGAGAAGGCUAGGUUGUCCGGGCGACGGUCGUCCCGGUUCAAGCAGGUAGGCAGAGUGAUUAGGCAAAUCCGGUCACUUAAUGCUGAGAUGUGAUGACGAACCACUAAGGUGGUGAAGCAAUUGAUGCCCCGCUUCCAGGAAAAGCCUCUAAGCUUCAGGUUACCAACAAUCGUACCCCAAACCGACACAGGUGGUCAGGUAGAGAAUACUCAGGCGCUUGAGAGAACUCGGGUGAAGGAACUAGGCAAAAUGGUGCCGUAACUUCGGGAGAAGGCACGCUGGCGGUAGGUAAAGUCCCUCGCGGACGGCGCUGAAGCCAGUCGAAGAUACCAGCUGGCUGCAACUGUUUAUUAAAAACACAGCACUGUGCAAACACGAAAGUGGACGUAUACGGUGUGACGCCUGCCCGGUGCUGGAAGGUUAAUUGAUGGGGUUAGCCGCAAGGCGAAGCUCCUGAUCGAAGCCCCAGUAAACGGCGGCCGUAACUAUAACGGUCCUAAGGUAGCGAAAUUCCUUGUCGGGUAAGUUCCGACCUGCACGAAUGGCGUAAUGAUGGCCAGGCUGUCUCCACCCGAGACUCAGUGAAAUUGAACUC